rnacentral:rRNA from 1 species
UCCUACGGGGGGCAGCAGUGGGGGAUAUUGCACAAUGGGGGGAACCCUGAUGCAGCGACGCCGCGUGGGCGAUGGAGUACUUCGGUAUGUAAAGCCCUAUCAGCAGGGAAGAAAAUGACGGUACCUGACUAAGAAGCCCCGGCUAAAUACGUGCCAGCAGCCGCGGUAAUACGUAUGGGGCAAGCGUUAUCCGGAUUUACUGGGUGUAAGGGGAGCGUAGACGGCAUAGCAAGUCUGAAGUGAAAGCCCGUGGCUCAACCGCGGAACUGCUUUGGAAACUGUUAAGCUGGAGUACUGGAGAGGCA